rnacentral:rRNA from 1 species
UCUACAGACUCCUACGGGAGGCAGCAGUGGGGAAUAUUGGACAAUGGGGGGAGCCCUGAUCCAGCGACGCCGCGUGAGUGAAGAAGUAUUUCGGUAUGUAAAGCUCUAUCAGCAGGGAAGAAAGAAAUGACGGUACCUGACUAAGAAGCCCCGGCUAACUACGUGCCAGCAGCCGCGGUAAUACGGAGGAUGCGAGCGUUAUCCGGAUUUAUUGGGUUUAAAGGGUGCGUAGGCGGUCCGUUAAGUCAGGGGUAAAAUUCCGGGGCUCAACCCCGUCGAGCCGUUGAAACUGGCAGACUUGAGUUGGCGAGAAGUGCGCGGAAUGCGCGGUGUAGCGGUGAAAUGCAUAGAUAUCGCGCAGAACUCCGAUUGCGAAGGCAGCGUACCGGCGCCACACUGACGCUGAGGCACGAAAGCGUGGGGAUCGAACAGGAUUAGAUACCCUCGUAA